GAAACCCUACUCAUUUCCUGAGCCAUGAAAUUCCAGGGACUAAUAUUGAGAUGAACCAGGCAUGGAGACCAAGCUGCAAAAUUCCAGAAAUGACCUCCAGGUUGUUAGUCUACAACCCAGCCAUCGUCAAGAUAACAUUAGACUGCGUUCCAGGUGGACCAUGACUCAAGAUAGCCACCAGACCAAGGCACGGACACCUAGCACCCAGCACCACUCCUGCAUGCCUCCCACUCUAAGUUCCCCUUUAUAAACACCUCUCCACAGUCGAAAGUUUGAAAUCGUCUUUUAAGGGCAUGAGCUUGGCCAUUCCCAGAUCUUGGCAUUUGAAUAAAGUAG
rnacentral:lncRNA from 1 species